GGGUUGUGAGGUUAAGCGACUAAGCGUACACGGUGGAUGCCCUGGCAGUCAGAGGCGAUGAAGGACGUGCUAAUCUGCGAAAAGCGUCGGUAAGGUGAUAUGAACCGUUAUAGCCGGCGAUGUCCGAAUGGGGAAACCCAGUGCAAUUCGUUGCACUAUCGUUUGAUGAAUACAUAGUCAAACGAGGCGAACCGGGGGAACUGAAACAUCUAAGUACCCCGAGGAAAAGAAAUCAACCGAGAUUCCCCCAGUAGCGGCGAGCGAACGGGGAGCAGCCCGGAGUCUGAAUCAGCUUGUGUGUUAGUGGAAGCGUCUGGAAAGUCGCAGGGUACAGGGUGAUACUCCCGUACACUAAAACACACAGGCUGUGAACUCGAAGAGUAGGGCGGGACACGUGGUAUCCUGUCUGAAUAUGGGGGGACCAUCCUCCAAGGCUAAAUACUCCUGACUGACCGAUAGUGAACCAGUACCGUGAGGGAAAGGCGAAAAGAACCCCGGCGAGGGGAGUGAAAAAGAACCUGAAACCGUGUACGUACAAGCAGUAGGAGCCUCUUUAUGGGGUGACUGCGUACCUUUUGUAUAAUGGGUCAGCGACUUAUAUUCUGUAGCAAGGUUAACCGUAUAGGGGAGCCGCAGGGAAACCGAGUCUUAACUGGGCGUUAAGUUGCAGGGUAUAGACCCGAAACCCGGUGAUCUAGCCAUGGGCAGGUUGAAGGUUGGGUAACACUAACUGGAGGACCGAACCGACUAAUGUUGAAAAAUUAGCGGAUGACUUGUGGCUGGGGGUGAAAGGCCAAUCAAACCGGGAGAUAGCUGGUUCUCCCCGAAAGCUAUUUAGGUAGCGCCUCGUGAAUUCAUCUUCGGGGGUAGAGCACUGUUUCGGCUAGGGGGUCAUCCCGACUUACCAACCCGAUGCAAACUACGAAUACCGAAGAAUGUUAUCACGGGAGACACACGGCGGGUGCUAACGUCCGUCGUGAAGAGGGAAACAACCCAGACCGCCAGCUAAGGUCCCAAAGUCAUGGUUAAGUGGGAAACGAUGUGGGAAGGCCCAGACAGCCAGGAUGUUGGCUUAGAAGCAGCCAUCAUUUAAAGAAAGCGUAAUAGCUCACUGGUCGAGUCGGCCUGCGCGGAAGAUGUAACGGGGCUAAACCAUGCACCGAAGCUGCGGCAGCGACACUAUGUGUUGUUGGGUAGGGGAGCGUUCUGUAAGCCGUUGAAGGUGGCCUGUGAGGGUUGCUGGAGGUAUCAGAAGUGCGAAUGCUGACAUAAGUAACGAUAAUGCGGGUGAAAAACCCGCACGCCGGAAGACCAAGGGUUCCUGUCCAACGUUAAUCGGGGCAGGGUGAGUCGACCCCUAAGGCGAGGCCGAAAGGCGUAGUCGAUGGGAAACAGGUUAAUAUUCCUGUACUCGGUGUUACUGCGAAGGGGGGACGGAGAAGGCUAUGUUGGCCGGGCGACGGUUGUCCCGGUUUAAGCAUGUAGGCGGAUGUUCCAGGUAAAUCCGGAACGUUAUUAACGCUGAGGUGUGAUGACGAGGCACUACGGUGCUGAAGUGACAAAUGCCCUGCUUCCAGGAAAAGCCUCUAAGCAUCAGGUAACAUCAAAUCGUACCCCAAACCGACACAGGUGGUCAGGUAGAGAAUACCAAGGCGCUUGAGAGAACUCGGGUGAAGGAACUAGGCAAAAUGGUGCCGUAACUUCGGGAGAAGGCACGCUGAUAUGUAGGUGAAGUGGUUUACCCAUGGAGCUGAAAUCAGUCGAAGAUACCAGCUGGCUGCAACUGUUUAUUAAAAACACAGCACUGUGCAAACACGAAAGUGGACGUAUACGGUGUGACGCCUGCCCGGUGCCGGAAGGUUAAUUGAUGGGGUUAUCCGUAAGGAGAAGCUCUUGAUCGAAGCCCCGGUAAACGGCGGCCGUAACUAUAACGGUCCUAAGGUAGCGAAAUUCCUUGUCGGGUAAGUUCCGACCUGCACGAAUGGCGUAAUGAUGGCCAGGCUGUCUCCACCCGAGACUCAGUGAAAUUGAACUCGCUGUGAAGAUGCAGUGUACCCGCGGCAAGACGGAAAGACCCCGUGAACCUUUACUAUAGCUUGACACUGAACACUGGUCCUUGAUGUGUAGGAUAGGUGGGAGGCUUUGAAGUGUGGACGCCAGUCUGCAUGGAGCCAUCCUUGAAAUACCACCCUUUAAUGGCUGGUGUUCUAACGUGGGCCCGUUAUCCGGGUUGCGGACAGUGUCUGGUGGGUAGUUUGACUGGGGCGGUCUCCUCCUAAAGAGUAACGGAGGAGCACGAAGGUCAGCUAAUCCUGGUCGGACAUCAGGAGGUUAGUGCAAUGGCAUAAGCUGGCUUGACUGCGAGCGUGACGGCGCGAGCAGGUGCGAAAGCAGGUCAUAGUGAUCCGGUGGUUCUGAAUGGAAGGGCCAUCGCUCAACGGAUAAAAGGUACUCCGGGGAUAACAGGCUGAUACCGCCCAAGAGUUCAUAUCGACGGCGGUGUUUGGCACCUCGAUGUCGGCUCAUCACAUCCUGGGGCUGAAGUAGGUCCCAAGGGUAUGGCUGUUCGCCAUUUAAAGUGGUACGCGAGCUGGGUUUAGAACGUCGUGAGACAGUUCGGUCCCUAUCUGCCGUGGGCGCUGGAGAAUUGAGGGGGGCUGCUCCUAGUACGAGAGGACCGGAGUGGACGCAUCACUGGUGUUCGGGUUGUCAUGCCAAUGGCAUUGCCCGGUAGCUAAAUGCGGAAGAGAUAAGUGCUGAAAGCAUCUAAGCACGAAACUUGCCCCGAGAUGAGUUCUCCCUGACCCUUUAAGGGUCCUGAAGGAACGUUGAAGACGACGACGUUGAUAGGCCGGGUGUGUAAGCGCAGCGAUGCGUUGAGCUAACCGGUACUAAUGAACCGUGAGGCUUAACCUUACAACGCCGAAG
rnacentral:rRNA from 1 species